GGGGUUGUGGGUCAGAGGUAGAGCGCUCGCCUGCCAUGCGUGAGACAUUGGGUUCAAUCCUCAGCACCACA
rnacentral:tRNA from 1 species